AACGAACGCUGGCGGCAUGCCUAACACAUGCCAGUCGAACGAGACCUUCGGGUCUAGUGGCGGACGGGUGCGUAACGCGUGGGAACCUGCCCUUAGGUUCGGAAUAACUCCCCGAAAGGGGUGCUAAUACCGGAUAAUGUCUUCGGACCAAAGAUUUAUCGCCUUUGGAUGGGCCCGCGUUGGAUUAGCUAGUUGGUAGGGUAAAAGCCUACCAAGGCGACGAUCCAUAGCUGGUCUGAGAGGAUGAUCAGCCACACUGGGACUGAGACACGGCCCAGACUCCUACGGGAGGCAGCAGUGGGGAAUAUUGGACAAUGGGCGAAAGCCUGAUCCAGCAAUGCCGCGUGAGUGAUGAAGGCCUUAGGGUUGUAAAGCUCUUUUACCCGGGAUGAUAAUGACAGUACCGGGAGAAUAAGCUCCGGCUAACUCCGUG
rnacentral:rRNA from 1 species